AAAACCUGGUGGCCUUGCGACAAAUUUGGCAUGCUGCUCCAUUUAUUUUCCUUUGUUGUCUGAUGAUGACACCAACGCAACCACAAAAAUGUACAUUUAAAAAAUGACCGUUCUCUCUCAACAAAUAUUAAAGGGAUACUCCACUUUUUUUACAUAUGCUAAUUUUCCAGCUCCCCGAUAGUUAAACAUUUGACUUUUUACCAUUUUGGAAUCCAUUCAGAUGAUCUCCGGGUCUGGCAGUACCACUUUUAGCAUAAUACAUUGAAUCUGAUUAGACCAUUAGCAUCGUUCUUUGGUCAACUGCCUUUAAGCUCCUAGAAGAUGCAAACUUACCUGCAAGUGUUCAGGAAUUGGCUGAGCAAAGAAAGCGUUGGCUCAGCAGGCCAGAUUUUUUGGUACAAGCUGCGAGGCAUUAUGAGGGGGCGGGGCAGAUACUUCUGCGGAAGGCGGUGAUGUCAGCGCGCAAGUUUGUGUUCAUUGGCCAAGGUGUGAUGCCACCCAUGGGUGAAUGGCAGGAAGUGGAGUGUCCUGCUCGACUGGAUCUGUCAGGUGGUUGCAGUGACAUUCCUCCUAUUGCGUUUGAACAUGGUGGAUUGGUGGUUAAUGUGGCCAUUAGGGUGGAUGGCAAACGGCCGAUUGGUGCCUGAGUUCACGAAUUCCUGAACCUCAUCUGCUGUUGGUCAGCUCCAGCGGAGAACCCGACUGCAGAUUUCAACAGAAACAAUCUGUGAGGAUCUUACAGCUGCGCAGCUGGUCUACACUACCACAUGGUUCUGGUCUUGGCACCAGCAGUAUCCUGGCAGGCGCAGCUCUUGCUGCAGUGUACAGAAGUACAGGACGAAGCUACGACACAACGUCUCUCAUUCAUGAUGUUCUUUACCUGGAGCAGAUACUCACCACUGGUGGUGGAUGACAGGAUCAGGUUGGUGGUUUGUUUGGAGGAGUGAAGGUCGCUCGAUCAGCAGCUCAGUUACCUCUGAGAGUUGAAGUUGAACAGCUGUCUCUCUCUCAAGACUUCAUAUCUGUCCUACAGCAACAUCUCCUGCUGGUUUACACUGGAAGACGCGUUUAGCACGAAACCUGCUGCAGGUACGAGCAUCCAAUCGUU